rnacentral:rRNA from 1 species
GAUGAACGCUGGCGGCGUGCUUAACACAUGCAAGUCGAACGGGAAACCUUUUAUUGAAGCUUCGGCAGAUUUAGAUUGUUUCUAGUGGCGGACGGGUGAGUAACGCGUGGGUAACCUGCCUUAUACAGGGGGAUAACAGUCAGAAAUGACUGCUAAUACCGCAUAAGCGCACAGAGCUGCAUGGCUCGGUGUGAAAAACUCCGGUGGUAUAAGAUGGACCCGCGUUGGAUUAGCUGGUUGGUGAGGUAACGGCCCACCAAGGCGACGAUCCAUAGCCGGCCUGAGAGGUUGGCCGGCCACAUUGGGACUGAGACACGGCCCAG